rnacentral:rRNA from 1 species
CUCUGUGACUCCUACGGGAGGCAGCAGUGGGGAAUAUUGCACAAGUGGGGGAAACCCUGAUGCAGCCAUGCCGCGUGUGUGAAGAAGGCCUUCGGGUUGUAAAGCACUUUCAGUAGGGAGGAAGGUAGUGUAGUUAACACCUGCACUAUUUGACGUUACCUACAGAAGAAGCACCGGCUAACUCCGUGCCAGCAGCCGCGGUAAUACGGAGGGUGCGAGCGUUAAUCGGAAUUACGUGGGACGUAAAGCGCAUGCAGGCGGCCUGUUAAGUCAGAUGUGAAAGCCCCGGGGCUUAACCUCGGAAUUGCAUUUGAAACUGGCAGGCUAGAGUCUUGUAGAGGGGGUAGAAUUUCAGGUGUAGCGGUGAAAUGCGUAGAGAUCUGAAGGAAUACCAGUGGCGAAGGCGGCCCCCUGGACAAAGACUGACGCUCAGAUGCGAAAGCGUGGGGAGCAAACAGGAUUAGAUACCCUGGUAG